rnacentral:misc_RNA from 1 species
UCGACACCCACGAGCUUCAGAUGAUCACCCUAGACUACAGGCGAGAAUGCCAACAUGAUGACAUUGUUGAUUCGCUGACUAGUCUGGAAUUGGAGGGGACAGACAAUGCACUUUUGCAUGCUGGCGGUACGAAUGGAUCUGCAACUAUCGCGCAGCAUGGUCGAGAUAACUGCCAGUUUUUGCAUUUCUUGAGACUGGCAGGUACGAAACUUGAGAUAAACCGAGGCCGCACUGCUUGGAGGAAGCUGGUUAGAUAGAGGCUGUUCUACCCUGGUGUCAUUUUCCCUCUCCUAUGCCCUUUUCCUAUGCAGCACUGUUUGUUUUUG